AUGGCUUCCCAGGCACGGGUGCUGCACCAACAAUUUGAAGUCCUUAGGCAAUAUCUAGGGACUGGGGACAAAGCAAGGGUGUUCCAGAAGGAAGAAGGGUCCCCAAAGAUUCCUGUGUGCUCAUGUUUCCUGUGUAAACCAAUCAGAAGGCACCUUGGCAAAGACAGAUCUUUACAGCAUACAAAAAGAUUAUUCCACAACAGUGGAUGCUAUUCCUGUUAUUUGGAAUGGGCUUCUGGUUAUUCAAUGGACUUCUCUGUGUUCAAGAUUCACCACGCACAGCUCUGCCCUCACCUGAAAGCCACUGUAGGUUCCUAAUUGUAUAGGAAAGUUUUGGACAAGAUUUAGAUGCUGUAUAAGGAAUACUAAACUAAUAAAAUUUUCUUCCUUCCUCCCUUUUUUGUUUGU
rnacentral:lncRNA from 1 species